rnacentral:rRNA from 1 species
UCGAGAAUCUUCCGCAAUGGACGAAAGUCUGACGGAGCGACGCCGCGUGCGGGAUGAAGGCCUUCGGGUUGUAAACCGCUGUCAGUUGGGAGGAAAUGCAUGAGGGCUAUCCCUCAUGUUUGACCGAUCUUCAGAGGAAGUACGGGCUAAGUUCGUGCCAGCAGCCGCGGUAACACGAACCGUACGAACGUUAUUCGGAAUCACUGGGCUUAAAGAGUCCGUAGGCGGCUUGGUAGGUGAGGUGUGAAAUCCCACGGCUCAACCGUGGAACUGCGCUUCAAACCACUAGGCUAGAGGGAGAUAGAGGAAAGCGGAACUGAUGGUGGAGCGGUGAAAUGCGUUGAUAUCAUCAGGAACACCGGUGGCGAAAGCGGCUUUCUGGGUCUCUUCUGACGCUGAGGGACGAAAGCUAGGGGAGCGAACGGGAUUAGAUACCCCCGUAGUCC